GAUGAAGAACGUAGCGAAAUGCGAUAAGUAAUGUGAAUUGCAGAAUUCAGUGAAUCAUCGAAUCUUUGAACGCACAUUGCGCCCGCCAGUAUUCUGGCGAGCAUGUCUGUUCGAGCGUCAUUUCAACCAUCAAGCCCCAGGCUUGUGUUGGAGCCCUGCGGCUGCCGCAGCCUCCCAAAACCAGUGGCGGGCUCGCUAUCACACCGAGUGCAGUAGUUUACUCUUCGCUCAGGGCGUGUGGCGGGUGCUAGCCGUGAAACCCCCAACUUCUCAAGGUUGACCUCGGAUCAGGUAGGAAUACCCGCUGAACUUAAGCAUAUCAAUAAGCGGAGGA
rnacentral:misc_RNA from 1 species